rnacentral:rRNA from 1 species
CUCGCUGUAGUGUUACUGACGCUAAAGCUCGAAAGUGCGGGUAUCGAACAGGAUUAGAUACCCUGGUAGUCCGCACGGUAAACGAUGGAUGCCCGCUGUUUGCCCUUCGGGGUGAGUGGCUAAGCGAAAGCGUUAAGCAUCCCACCUGGGGAGUACGCCGGCAACGGUGAAACUCAAAGGAAUUGACGGGGGCCCGCACAAGCGGAGGAACAUGUGGUUUAAUUCGAUGAUACGCGAGGAACCUUACCCGGGCUUGAAUUGCAGAUGACGGAUCUAGAGAUAGUGACUUCCUUCGGGACAUCUGUGAAGGUGCUGCAUGGUUGUCGUCAGCUCGUGCCGUGAGGUGUCGGCUUAAGUGCCAUAACGAGCGCAACCCUUCUCUUCAGUUGCCAUCAGGUUAAGCUGGGCACUCUGGAGACACUGCCACCGUAAGGUGUGAGGAAGGUGGGGAUGACGUCAAAUCAGCACGGCCCUUACGUCCGGGGCUACACACGUGUUACAAUGGCCGGUACAGAAAGUCGGAUGCCCGUAAGGUCAUUCUAAUCAAGAAAGCCGGUCCCAGUUCGGACUGAGGUCUGCAACCCGACCUCACGAAGCUGGA